UCCUCUUGCCUCCCAAAGUGCUAGAAUUAUAGGCAUGAACCAAUGCACCCAGCUAGUAUUUGUUCUUACCAGUUUAAUAUCUGAUAUGUCCUCUAUCUGAGGAUAAUAUAGUAAAUGAAUUUUUAGUAAUAGGAGAUGGAACAGGAGCUUGCUCUGUCUACUCCAUGCAUCAGCCUGGUAUUGUAGUACCUCCAGGAAUGGUGUACCAAAA
rnacentral:snRNA from 1 species